ACCUUCGGUUUGCGUAACGAGUGCAUCAACCCACAUAUUAAUAGCGUAGGCGUUUUAUUAACUGUGCAAUAUUUUCAACACUUCCUUGCAUGCCAUUUCAUGUGGCAUAUCUUCUCUGGUCACAAAUUUGUGCAACGAAUCUACUUGCAUGAUCGACUCCGGGCCUGUGGGACCGUUCACUUGCACUUGAUGCUGAGUCUUUUACAUGUAUCCAUAAACUGCAGAUAUGCACAUCGGAUCCCUGCGAGCAUUUUCCAAAUUCAAUUAUUUUAGACAACAGGCACAUAUGCAAUACUAACCUAAUCUCAAAUACCACUAAGCAGCUGGGACACAUCUUUGUUGACCAUACUCGCAGGUAAAAUAAGUAGAUCACGUGGACCGCUCCAGCUCAUUUUCCUUAAAUCAAUGUGUACAAGGGGUAUGCAAAAAUAAUUUUUUUUUCUCGCGCACCGAUUAUUUUGCUGUAUAAGCAAGAGAACCCACCACGUUAGUGUAACGUAUCUUGUACAUCACACUAAUAUGUGCUUUAAUUUACCAAGUCAGAUGAGUUACCUUUAUGGCUCAUUCAGUCAAAUCACACUGCAAGCUGCAUUCGUCAAUCUUCAAUUGGAUUUUGCAAAUGUUUAAUGAAAUAUGUAUCCCUUUUAUGCAGAUAUGCUAUGGCAAGCCCUUCCGUAUGUUCCAAAGACAAUGCCUAUGCCUAGCCACAGCAGCUCCCUCAUACAGACUCUGCAAGCCAAGAGGCCGUGGAGGCAAAUGCAGGCAGCCAGCACACCUCGAACAGCCUCCUUGACUGUGGGUGUGUCAGUAGAUUCCUGUUGCACAUAUGCUCAUAAUAAACUUCAGUAAACUUGAAUUUGAUAAAAAACUUGAAGGCAAACGGGA
rnacentral:lncRNA from 1 species